CCACAGUGAUGAGCUGUGAUUGGGUCUGACCUGGUAUUGCCAUCUUCCCAGGAGAUGCUUUGACCAGGAACUGGUGACAGUAAUCUUCUCUCUGAGUGG